rnacentral:lncRNA from 1 species
GUAGAAUGCUGCUCUCAGCCCUGAUGGUUUUCUGCCUUUGCACUGCCCACAUCCCUACCAAGGAGGAAAGUUAAACCACUCCAAGGUUUUGAAAAGAAAUGCUGCUCCAGCUCUGCCUCUCCAGGGCUGAAGGAUGGGCCAAGCUUUCUGCUCAUCACAGCUUUGCUACUGACACCACAAACCAGGUAAAGGCAUCAACACCCCUUCAGAAAGAGCCUGCGUGGUCAGUGCAAUGUCAGUCACUCACUGCUGGCCAGGAUCUGAGCAGGGAACCUGCCAGGAGAUGUGAGGAGUGACUGUCCUAUCCCCAAGGCCCUCAUGCUUGUUUGCCUCUGAAAGUCCCUGUCUGCGUGCACUGCUGUGCCACCCUGCCUUGGACACACCUUUUAAACUCCAAAGAUAAUGUACUGCACUUGCCUUAAUGCUGCUUUUGGGAUGUGUGACUGCAAACUACCUCAGCACUUAGAUAACGAUGAGCUAUGGGGGGAAACCACAGCGGUACUUCUAUUUAAAUCCAGGUAACAUCUCACCUCUCUUUUU